rnacentral:rRNA from 1 species
UUUGAUCNUGGCUCAGAUUGAACGCUGGCGGCAUGCCUUACACAUGCAAGUCGAACGGCAGCACGGGGGCAACCCUGGUGGCGAGUGGCGAACGGGUGAGUAAUACAUCGGAACGUGUCCUGUAGUGGGGGAUAACGCCGCGAAAGCCGGAUUAAUACCGCAUACGCUCUACGGAGGAAAGGGGGGGAUCUUAGGACCUCCCGCUACAGGGGCGCCGAUGGCAGAUUAGCUAGUUGGUGGGGUAAAGGCCUACCAAGGCGACGAUCUGUAGCUGGUCUGAGAGGACGACCAGCCACACUGGGACUGAGACACCGGCCCAGACUCCUACGGGAGGCAGCAGUGGGGAAUUUUGGACAAUGGGGGCAACCUGAUCCAGCAAUGCCGCGUGUGUGAAGAAGGCCUUCGGGUUGUAAAGCACUUUUGUCCGGAAAGAAAACGCCGUGGUUAAUACCCGUGGCGGAUGACGGUACCGGAAGAAUAAGCACCGGCUAACUACGUGCCAGCAGCCGCGGUAAUACGUAGGGUGCAAGCGUUAAUCGGAAUUACUGGGCGUAAAGCGUGCGCAGGCGGUCCGCUAAGACAGAUGUGAAAUCCCCGGGCUUAACCUGGGAACUGCAUUUGUGACUGGCGGGCUAGAGUAUGGCAGAGGGGGGUAGAAUUCCACGUGUAGCAGUGAAAUGCGUAGAGAUGUGGAGGAAUACCCAUGGCGAAGGCAGCCCCCUGGCCAAUACUGACGCUCAUGCACGAAGCG